UAGGGAAUCUUCGGCAAUGGGGGCAACCCUGACCGAGCAACGCCGCGUGAGUGAAGAAGAUUUUCGGAUCGUAAAGCUCUGUUGUAAGAGAAGAACGUGUGUGAGAGUGGAAAGUUCACACAGUGACGGUAACUUACCAGAAAGGGACGGCUAACUGCGUGCCAG
rnacentral:rRNA from 1 species